ACCGCAUACGUCCUACGGGAGAAAGCAGGGGACCUUCGGGCCUUGCGCUAUCAGAUGAGCCUAGGUCGGAUUAGCUAGUUGGUGAGGUAAUGGCUCACCAAGGCGACGAUCCGUAACUGGUCUGAGAGGAUGAUCAGUCACACUGGAACUGAGACACGGUCCAGACUCCUACGGGAGGCAGCAGUGGGGAAUAUUGGACAAUGGGCGAAAGCCUGAUCCAGCCAUGCCGCGUGUGUGAAGAAGGUCUUCGGAUUGUAAAGCACUUUAAGUUGGGAGGAAGGGCAUUAACCUAAUACGUUAGUGUUUUGACGUUACCGACAGAAUAAGCACCGGCUAACUCUGUGCCAGCAGCCGCGGUAAUACAGAGGGUGCAAGCGUUAAUCGGAAUUACUGGGCGUAAAGCGCGCGUAGGUGGUUUGUUAAGUUGGAUGUGAAAGCCCCGGGCUCAACCUGGGAACUGCAUCCAAAACUGGCAAGCUAGAGUACGGUAGAGGGUGGUGGAAUUUCCUGUGUAGCGGUGAAAUGCGUAGAUAUAGGAAGGAACACCAGUGGCGAAGGCGACCACCUGGACUGAUACUGACACUGAGGUGCGAAAGCGUGGGGAGCAAACAGGAUUAGAUACCCUGGUAGUCCACGCCGUAAACGAUGUCAACUAGCCGUUGGAAUCCUUGAGAUUUUAGUGGCGCAGCUAACGCAUUAAGUUGACCGCCUGGGGAGUAC
rnacentral:rRNA from 1 species